rnacentral:rRNA from 1 species
CGGAACGGGUGAGUAACGCGUGAGGAACCUGCCUCAAAGAGGGGGACAACAGUUGGAAACGACUGCUAAUACCGCAUAAGCCCACGGCUCGGCAUCGAGCAGAGGGAAAAGGAGCAAUCCGCUUUGAGAUGGCCUCGCGUCCGAUUAGCUAAUUGGUGAGGUAACGGCCCACCAAGGCGACGAUCGGUAGCCGGACUGAGAGGUUGAACGGCCACAUUGGGACUGAGACACGGCCCAG